UAAUACGGAGGGUGCAAGCGUUAAUCGGAAUUACUGGGCGUAAAGCGCACGCAGGCGGUUUGUUAAGUCAGAUGUGAAAUCCCCGGGCUCAACCUGGGAACUGCAUUUGAAACUGGCAAGCUAGAGUCUCGUAGAGGGGGGUAGAAUUCCAGGUGUAGCGGUGAAAUGCGUAGAGAUCUGGAGGAAUACCGGUGGCGAAGGCGGCCCCCUGGACGAAGACUGACGCUCAGGUGCGAAAGCGUGGGGAGCAAAACAGGAUUAGAUACCCUGGUAGUCCACGCUGUAAACGAUGUCGAUUUGGAGGUUGUGCCCUUGAGGCGUGGCUUCCGGAGCUAACGCGUUAAAUCGACCGCCUGGGGAUACGGCCGCAAGGUUA
rnacentral:rRNA from 1 species